rnacentral:rRNA from 1 species
UACGAAGGGGGCUAGCGUUGCUCGGAAUGACUGGGCGUAAAGGGCGCGUAGGCGGAUGGCACAGUCAGAUGUGAAAUUCCCGGGGCUUAACCUGGGGGCUGCAUUUGAUACGUGUGAUCUAGAGUGAGGAAGAGGGUCGUGGAAGUUCCCAGUGUAGAGGUGAAAUUCGUAGAUAUUGGGAAGAACACCGGUGGCGAAGGCGGCGACCUGGUCCUUGACUGAC